rnacentral:rRNA from 1 species
GGCUCAGGAUGAACGCUGGCCGCGUGCUUAACACAUGCAAGUCGAACGAAGCAGUUUAUUACGAUCCCUUCGGGGUGACGAUUUACUGACUGAGUGGCGGACGGGUGAGUAACGCGUGGGUAACCUGCCUUGUACAGGGGGACAACAGUUGGAAACGACUGCUAAUACCGCAUAAGCGCACAGCUUCGCAUGAAGCAGUGUGAAAAGUUUUUUCGGUACAAGAUGGACCCGCGUCUGAUUAGCUAGUUGGUGAGGUAACGGCCCACAAGGCGACGAUCAGUAGCCGACCUGAGAGGGUGACCGGCCACAUUGGGACUGAGACACGGCCCAAACUCCUACGGGAGGCAGCAGUGGGGAAUAUUGCACAAUGGGCGAAAGCCUGAUGCAGCGACGCCGCGUGAGCGAAGAAGUAUUUCGGUAUGUAAAGCUCUAUCAGCAGGGAAGAUAAUGACGGUACCUGACUAAGAAGCACCGGCUAAAUACGUGCCAGCAGCCGCGGUAAUACGUAUGGUGCAAGCGUUAUCCGGAUUUACUGGGUGUAAAGGGAGCGUAGGCGGUUUUACAAGUCUGAUGUGAAAGCCCGGGGCUCAACUCCGGUAUUGCAUUGGAAACUGUAGAACUAGAGUGUCGGAGGGGUAAGUGGAAUUCCUAGUGUAGCGGUGAAAUGCGUAGAUAUUAGGAGGAACACCAGUGGCGAAGGCGGC